UAAAAUGUAUAUUUCAUUUCAGUAGCAUAUCACAUCAAAUACAAUACAUCAUCCACCGACUCCAUGCAUUAAGGUUCAGCGCCUAACAAGGGCACAUCAAAACAGUUUUACAUGUACACAACAGAAUACUUCUGCAAGUGCAAGCGCACAGAAAAAGGACCCAACAAGUGCACAAUCGCACAUAAAGAGAGUUCCACGAAGAUUGGAUGAGAACCACAAGUUUCUUCUCAUCCUGUUCCUCUGCACAAUAUGCUCUUGCCAUUGCCGCCU
rnacentral:lncRNA from 1 species